UCAGGCCUAACACAUGCAAGUCGAACGGUAACAGGUUAAGCUGAAGAGUGGCGAACGGGUGAGUAAUGUAUCGGAACGUGCCCAGUCGUGGGGGAUAACUGCUCGAAAGAGCAGCUAAUACCGCAUACGACCUGAGGGUGAAAGCGGGGGAUCGCAAGACCUCGCGCGAUUGGAGCGGCCGAUAUCAGAUUAGGUAGUUGGUGAGGUAAAGGCUCACCAAGCCAACGAUCUGUAGCUGGUCUGAGAGGACGACCAGCCACACUGGG
rnacentral:rRNA from 1 species